GCGCCUUGUGCUGGGGUGCAGCCGGCCCACCGUGGGGGUCAGCACCUCCUCCUCUGUUCCAGGGGGUCGGCCGGGGUCUCAGAGGUGGAGGAUCCAGCCCCACCCAGCCUGCGGAGGCCAGCGCCUGCCCGGCCCUGACUUGCCCUGGAGGGCGCUGGCUCCCGACCCUGGCUCCUCCUGGAAGCGAGGAGCGACUCUUGCAGCCUGGGGCAGGCUCGGUGACCCCGUCCGCAGCGCAGGAGCGGCCCCCUGACCCCUAGCAGACAGUGGGGCUGUGCCACCGCCUGCACAGGCUCCGGGCGCCGCGGCAGCGCUCGGGCGGCUUCUGAUCCUGCAGUCGUCAGAUCUGCACAGCCGAUGGCAGGGACGGCGGGGCGGGUGGCUCUGCCCUCGCCUCCUGGAGCCCGGCUCACCCCCAUCAGAGCCUCCCGGGCCACCUGUGGGCACAGCACCCAUCACAGAGAACGGGGCCAGCUCGCACGCCCCCAGGGACCUCCGUCUCCUCGGAGCUUUGGUUGGGGUCUCACCCAGCACCUCCAGGGGCCGGCGCUGGAACCCUGAGCGGAGAUGGCCAGGUCCCCCCCUGCCACGCCCGGUCGGCCGUCUUGAGUGCGAUCGGCCACCUCGCUCCGUUCCCUCUAUCCAGGACCUAGAGAGCCCUCUGCCUUUGGCCCACCAGCCCACGCCUGCGUGGCAGUCCUCACUCUGCCCACAGCGUGUCAGCGCCGCACAGACACGGCCCCAGCUCCACCCAGCGGGCGUCUCCGAGGGAAGAUGGAGGCCAGGCUACGAAGCGCAGUUUUAUCCCAGACACGGUGGGAGGCUGCUUUCUGAGCAGGAAAAGCCCAGGACAGAUCUGAGCUCCGGAUCUCCGGAGGCUUUCCAGGGACCCGGCCCGGCCUCUCCUGGCUUCCCCACGGUGGUCACGAGCCACAAUGAUGGCCUCACAGCACUUCCCCUCCCCCACGGUGUGUCCCUGGCUGGUCCACGCCGCCUGCCCCCCAGGGCGCUGCUCUAUGAGCCCCUCUCUUG
rnacentral:lncRNA from 1 species